GGAAGAGAAGGGGGGGGAAGCUAGAAAGAGAGAGACAGAGGGGGAAAAGUGCGAAAAGCCGCGGCGGCGGCUCCGCCCGGAGCCGGAGAAGUGGCCCCGCCGCCCCGAGGGGGCCGGGGAUGCAGCCGCGGCGGCGGCGGCGGCUAACGGUCCAGGGAGGCAGGCGCGGCGGGAGCCGCUAGGCGGAGAGACGCCAGAUCUGUGUUUGAGACUCAAGUCCCGUGUAUCCAUGCCAAGGAAAACUGAUCUCUGACAUGGUUCCCAUGUUUAUUGCCGCCUUUUGGCCAAAGCUACAGAGCUUCCACUGAUUUCAUAAUAUUAUACUCUUCCUGAAGAGAAAAUUAAGAAUUCCUUGAUGGAUCUGUUGUGCGACUGAAUUUUAAUUACGCCUGGAAUUAAUCUGGUAAAUCCAGGAAAACAUCUGGUUCCACAAAGAUAUACGGACUACAGUGUAAGAGCCAAAGGCCUCUCACUGAGUGACAUCAGAAAAGAGUGGAGAAAGUGUGGUUCUGGAGACAAAGGACCUGGAUUCAAAUCCCACUGUGUGGCCUUAGGAAAACCAUUUUGACAGCUCAUCUCCUUCACCUCAGGGACAAAGAUGGCCAAUGGACUGAGAGGUAUUUGAAGGAUGUGGAUGUGCCUACCUGGUUGGGGAAGGAAGGGGUGAUGAUGACAAUCAACAAAACAAUGAUUCAAGCUCUGAUUGUGGUGUUUGCUGGUGGCUGAGGUGUAUAUGCUGACUCUGAAAAUUUAACGAUCGGGGGUGUGGCCAGCUGGAGCUGGCACUCCCAAACCCCCUUUUCAGUGGACAAACAUGAAUUGGGUAUUUUGUAUACAAACUUUCUUUGAGAAGAAAAAAAAGGAAGUUCCCUUUCUUAUGGGACAUAAUACCAUGCAAAUAAUAAGAACUUGAAGGAGAAAGUCACCCACCAUGGCAUGACACAGAACUGCAAAAUCCUAGAGGUUGUCUGGUCCAAUUAGAACCUGGACAAGAAUCCUGUUCUCUGGAACACACUGGACAUGUUGUCGUCCAGCUUUUGAAAACAUCUACAGAGUGGAAACUCAUCAUUUCCCAAAGCAGCCCGUUGCACUUAGGGUAUCGGUGGGAAGGUUCUCCUUGCAUCAAGCCUCAAUUUGUCUGCAGUUUCCACUCAUCACUACUAGUUGUAUCCUCCGGGGCAAGCUGAACAAGCCUAAUUCUUCUUCUCAUCAGAAUCCUUCAAAUACUUGAAGUCACCUGUAACAAGGUACACAUUUCAUCUCCCUCCCUUCUUCGUAGAGUUGGGGGACCAUGAAGUGUGGAAUGGCACAUGCCCUGUUGGGCAGGGUUGAGGAGUUUAGUGUUGCAGAAUUGCUUUUUUUUCUUCCUCUUUGUUAUGAGCAAUGACUUGCUGGAUAGUGGAGUAGUGAGGGAUCUAUUUGGAUCUAUAUGAAAACAAAAGACUGAUAAAAAUAAGAUAAAAAUUUCAAGAGAGAAUUGCAUUGAAAAAGAAAGAAUUAGUGACCAUUUUAAACAGUAAUUUUCUUAAUAGUAGGCUCAGCCAUUCACCAAGUAUAUUAUAAUGAAGAUACCUUUGAGUGUACUGGCUAACUAAAUGUCUGCUAAGGUCCCUUCUGACUCUCAAAUGCUGCAAUUCUGUGAUUCUAGGUGGGAAAAUCAGCUAGUCCUCAAAGAGCAACAUUAGAUCUACUUUAUGAUAGAAAAAUAGUUGGAUAGUAUAUGAUUUAAAGAAAAACACAGGAGAGGUGAGGGAGGCAGAGAGAAAAUUAGAAACUCAAAAUUUUAAAAAAAU